rnacentral:rRNA from 1 species
UACGGGGGGUGCGAGCGUUUGUCCGGAAUCACUGGGCGUAAAGGGCGCGUAGGUGGCAUGAUAAGGGUGUGGUGAAAGCCCGGGGCUCAACCCCGGGUCUGCCAUGCCGACUGUCACGCUAGAGUACUGUAGGGGCAGGCGGAAUUCCGGGUGUAGCGGUGGAAUGCGUAGAGAUCCGGAGGAAGACCGGUGGCGAAGGCGGCCUGCUGGGCAGUUGCUGACGCUGAGGCGCGAAGGCGUGGGGAGCGAACGGG